rnacentral:rRNA from 1 species
AGCGAACGCUGGCGGCAGGCCUAACACAUGCAAGUCGAACGAACUCUUCGGAGUUAGUGGCGGACGGGUGAGUAACACGUGGGAACGUGCCUUUUGGUUCGGAAUAACUCAGGGAAACUUGUGCUAAUACCGAAUGUGCCCUUCGGGGGAAAGAUUUAUCGCCAUUAGAGCGGCCCGCGUCUGAUUAGCUAGUUGGUGAGGUAACGGCUCACCAAGGAGACGAUCAGUAGCUGGUCUGAGAGGAUGACCAGCCACACUGGGACUGAGACACGGCCCAGACUCCUACGGGAGGCAGCAGUGGGGAAUCUUGCGCAAUGGGCGAAAGCCUGACGCAGCCAUGCCGCGUGAAUGAUGAAGGUCUUAGGAUUGUAAAAUUCUUUCACCGGGGACGAUAAUGACGGUACCCGGAGAAGAAGCCCCGGCUAACUUCGUG